rnacentral:rRNA from 1 species
GACGAACGCUGGCGGCGUGCUUAACACAUGCAAGUCGAACGAAGAGCGACGGAAGCUUGCUUCUAUCAAUCUUAGUGGCGAACGGGUGAGUAACGCGUAAUCAACCUGCCCUUCAGAGGGGGACAACAGAUGGAAACGACUGCUAAUACCGCAUACGAUCUAACCUCGGCAUCGAGGUAAGAUGAAAGGUGGCAUCUACAUGUAAUCUAUCACUGAAGGAGGGGAUUGCGUCUGAUUAGCUAGUUGGCGGGGUAACGGCUCACCAAGGCGAUGAUCAGUAGCCGGUCUGAGAGGAUGAACGGCCACAUUGGGACUGAGACGCGGCCCAGACUCCUACGGGAGGCAGCAGUGGGGAAUCUUCCGCAAUGGACGAAAGUCUGACGGAGCAACGCCGCGUGAGUGAUGACGGUCUUCGGGUUGUAAAGCUCUGUUAUUCGGGACGAAAGGGCUUCUUGCGAAUAGUGAGAAGGAUUGACGGUACCGGAAUAGAAAGCCACGGCUAACUACGUG